AGCGUACACGGUGGAUGCCCUGGCAGUCAGAGGCGAUGAAGGACGUGCUAAUCUGCGAUAAGCGUCGGUAAGGUGAUAUGAACCGUUAUAACCGGCGAUUUCCGAAUGGGGAAACCCAGUGUGAUUCGUCACACUAUCAUUAACUGAAUCCAUAGGUUAAUGAGGCGAACCGGGGGAACUGAAACAUCUAAGUACCCCGAGGAAAAGAAAUCAACCGAGAUUCCCCCAGUAGCGGCGAGCGAACGGGGAGGAGCCCAGAGCCUGAAUCAGUGUGUGUGUUAGUGGAAGCGUCUGGAAAGGCGCGCGAUACAGGGUGACAGCCCCGUACACAAAAAUGCACAUGCUGUGAGCUCGAUGAGUAGGGCGGGACACGUGGUAUCCUGUCUGAAUAUGGGGGGACCAUCCUCCAAGGCUAAAUACUCCUGACUGACCGAUAGUGAACCAGUACCGUGAGGGAAAGGCGAAAAGAACCCCGGCGAGGGGAGUGAAAAAGAACCUGAAACCGUGUACGUACAAGCAGUGGGAGCACGCUUAGGCGUGUGACUGCGUACCUUUUGUAUAAUGGGUCAGCGACUUAUAUUCUGUAGCAAGGUUAACCGAAUAGGGGAGCCGAAGGGAAACCGAGUCUUAACUGGGCGUUAAGUUGCAGGGUAUAGACCCGAAACCCGGUGAUCUAGCCAUGGGCAGGUUGAAGGUUGGGUAACACUAACUGGAGGACCGAACCGACUAAUGUUGAAAAAUUAGCGGAUGACUUGUGGCUGGGGGUGAAAGGCCAAUCAAACCGGGAGAUAGCUGGUUCUCCCCGAAAGCUAUUUAGGUAGCGCCUCGUGAAUUCAUCUCCGGGGGUAGAGCACUGUUUCGGCAAGGGGGUCAUCCCGACUUACCAACCCGAUGCAAACUGCGAAUACCGGAGAAUGUUAUCACGGGAGACACACGGCGGGUGCUAACGUCCGUCGUGAAGAGGGAAACAACCCAGACCGCCAGCUAAGGUCCCAAAGUCAUGGUUAAGUGGGAAACGAUGUGGGAAGGCCCAGACAGCCAGGAUGUUGGCUUAGAAGCAGCCAUCAUUUAAAGAAAGCGUAAUAGCUCACUGGUCGAGUCGGCCUGCGCGGAAGAUGUAACGGGGCUAAACCAUGCACCGAAGCUGCGGCAGCGACGCUGAUGCGUUGUUGGGUAGGGGAGCGUUCUGUAAGCCUGUGAAGGUGUGCUGUGAGGCAUGCUGGAGGUAUCAGAAGUGCGAAUGCUGACAUAAGUAACGAUAAAGCGGGUGAAAAGCCCGCUCGCCGGAAGACCAAGGGUUCCUGUCCAACGUUAAUCGGGGCAGGGUGAGUCGACCCCUAAGGCGAGGCCGAAAGGCGUAGUCGAUGGGAAACAGGUUAAUAUUCCUGUACUUGGUGUUACUGCGAAGGGGGGACGGAGAAGGCUAUGUUGGCCGGGCGACGGUUGUCCCGGUUUAAGCGUGUAGGCUGGUUUUCCAGGCAAAUCCGGAAAACUAAGGCUGAGGCGUGAUGACGAGGCACUACGGUGCUGAAGCAACAAAUGCCCUGCUUCCAGGAAAAGCCUCUAAGCAUCAGGUAACAUCAAAUCGUACCCCAAACCGACACAGGUGGUCAGGUAGAGAAUACCAAGGCGCUUGAGAGAACUCGGGUGAAGGAACUAGGCAAAAUGGUGCCGUAACUUCGGGAGAAGGCACGCUGAUAUGUAGGUGAAGUCCCUCGCGGAUGGAGCUGAAAUCAGUCGAAGAUACCAGCUGGCUGCAACUGUUUAUUAAAAACACAGCACUGUGCAAACACGAAAGUGGACGUAUACGGUGUGACGCCUGCCCGGUGCCGGAAGGUUAAUUGAUGGGGUCAGCGCAAGCGAAGCUCUUGAUCGAAGCCCCGGUAAACGGCGGCCGUAACUAUAACGGUCCUAAGGUAGCGAAAUUCCUUGUCGGGUAAGUUCCGACCUGCACGAAUGGCGUAAUGAUGGCCAGGCUGUCUCCACCCGAGACUCAGUGAAAUUGAACUCGCUGUGAAGAUGCAGUGUACCCGCGGCAAGACGGAAAGACCCCGUGAACCUUUACUAUAGCUUGACACUGAACAUUGAGCCUUGAUGUGUAGGAUAGGUGGGAGGCUUUGAAGUGUGGACGCCAGUCUGCAUGGAGCCGACCUUGAAAUACCACCCUUUAAUGUUUGAUGUUCUAACGUUGACCCGUAAUCCGGGUUGCGGACAGUGUCUGGUGGGUAGUUUGACUGGGGCGGUCUCCUCCUAAAGAGUAACGGAGGAGCACGAAGGUUGGCUAAUCCUGGUCGGACAUCAGGAGGUUAGUGCAAUGGCAUAAGCCAGCUUGACUGCGAGCGUGACGGCGCGAGCAGGUGCGAAAGCAGGUCAUAGUGAUCCGGUGGUUCUGAAUGGAAGGGCCAUCGCUCAACGGAUAAAAGGUACUCCGGGGAUAACAGGCUGAUACCGCCCAAGAGUUCAUAUCGACGGCGGUGUUUGGCACCUCGAUGUCGGCUCAUCACAUCCUGGGGCUGAAGUAGGUCCCAAGGGUAUGGCUGUUCGCCAUUUAAAGUGGUACGCGAGCUGGGUUUAGAACGUCGUGAGACAGUUCGGUCCCUAUCUGCCGUGGGCGCUGGAGAACUGAGGGGGGCUGCUCCUAGUACGAGAGGACCGGAGUGGACGCAUCACUGGUGUUCGGGUUGUCAUGCCAAUGGCACUGCCCGGUAGCUAAAUGCGGAAGAGAUAAGUGCUGAAAGCAUCUAAGCACGAAACUUGCCCCGAGAUGAGUUCUCCCUGACUCCUUGA
rnacentral:rRNA from 1 species